UACGAAGGGGACAAGCGUUGUUCGGAAUUAUUGGGCGUAAAGGGCGCGUAGGCGGUCUUGUAAGUCGAUUGUGAAAUCCCUGGGCUUAACCCGGGAACUGCAGUCGAAACUGCAAGUCUUGAAUGCUCGAGAGGAUGGUAGAAUUCCUGGUGUAGAGGUGAAAUUCGGAGAUAUCAGGAGGAAUACCGGAGGCGAAAGCGGCCAUCUGGCGAGACAUUGACGCUGAGGCGCGAAAGCGUGGGGAUCAAACAGG
rnacentral:rRNA from 1 species